rnacentral:rRNA from 1 species
GUGAGUAGUUCAGAGUUUGAUCCUGGCUCAGGAUGAACGCUGGCGGCAUGCCUAACACAUGCAAGUUCGAACGAAGCACUUGAGUAGCUUGCUAUGAGAGUGACUUAGUGGCGAACGGGUGAGUAAUGCAUGAGCAACCUGCCCUUCAUGGGGGACAACAGUUGGAAACGACUGCUAAUACCGCAUAACACUUCCGAAAGGCAUCUUUUGGAAGUCAAAGAUUUAUUGCUGAAGGAUGGGCUCAUGUCUGAUUAGCUAGUUGGUGAGGUAACGGCUCACCAAGGCGACGAUCAGUAGCCGGUCUGAGAGGAUGAACGGCCACAUUGGGACUGAGAUACGGCCCAG